GUGGGGAAUUUUGGACAAUGGGCGAAAGCCUGAUCCAGCCAUGCCGCGUGCAGGAAGAAGGCCUUCGGGUUGUAAACUGCUUUUGUACGGAACGAAACGGUCCGGGUUAAUACCCUGGGCUAAUGACGGUACCGUAAGAAUAAGCACCGGCUAACUACGUGCCAGCAGCCGCGGUAAUACGUAGGGUGCAAGCGUUAAUCGGAAUUACUGGUCGUAAAGCGUGCGCAGGCGGUUUUGUAAGACAGGCGUGAAAUCCCCGGGCUCAACCUGGGAAUUGCGCUUGUGACUGCAAGGCUGGAGUGCGGCAGAGGGGGAUGGAAUUCCGCGUGUAGCAGUGAAAUGCGUAGAUAUGCGGAGGAACACCGAUGGCGAAGGCAAUCCCCUGGGCCUGCACUGACGCUCAUGCACGAAAGCGUGGGGAGCAAACAGGAUUAGAAACCCCGGUAGUCC
rnacentral:rRNA from 1 species